GACGAACGCUGGCGGCGUGCUUAACACAUGCAAGUCGAACGGAAAGGCCCUGCUUUUGUGGGGUGCUCGAGUGGCGAACGGGUGAGUAACACGUGAGUAACCUGCCCUUGACUUUGGGAUAACUUCAGGAAACUGGGGCUAAUACCGGAUAGGAGCUCCUGCUGCAUGGUGGGGGGUGGAAAGUUUAGGCGGGUGGGGCUGGACGCGCGGCUUAUCAGCUUGUUGGUGGGGUAGUGGCUUACCAAGGCUUUGACGGGUAGCCGGCCUGAGAGGGUGACCGGCGACAUUGGGCCUGCGAUACGGCGCAGACUCCUACGGGAGGCAGCAGUGGGGAAUAUGGCACAAUGGGCGGACGCCUGAUGCAGCGACGCCGCGUGCGGGAUGACGGCCUUCGGGUUGUAAACCGCUUUCGCCUGUGACGAAGCGUGAGUGACGGUAAUGGGUAAAGAAGCACCGGCUAACUACGUG
rnacentral:rRNA from 1 species